CCACUUCUCCUUCCUUGUCUAGGUCAUUUUACAAUAACGAAGGCUAGGAAAAAUCGUUAUGGAUUUACAAGAUGUUUUCAAGAGGUGAUCAUGAACCCUUUUUGGUGUUGUCUUUGCUCUUUGCUUCUUGCAUGUUUGUCUUUUUCCUGGGUAGCUUAGUCUGUGUAAUAUCGGAGGAGUUUUGUUGACUACUAAUUUCCUUGGGC
rnacentral:lncRNA from 1 species